UACGUAGGGUGCAAGCGUUUAAUCGGAAUUACUGGGCGUAAAGCGUGCGCAGGCGGUUUUGUAAGUCUGUCGUGAAAUCCCCGGGCUCAACCUGGGAAUUGCGAUGGAGACUGCAAGGCUGGAGUCUGGCAGAGGGGGGGUAGAAUUCCACGUGUAGCAGUGAAAUGCGUAGAGAUGUGGAGGAACACCGAUGGCGAAGGCAGCCCCCCUGGGUCAAGACUGACGCUCAUGCACGAAAGCGUGGGGGAGCAAACAAGG
rnacentral:rRNA from 1 species